CCUACGGGUGACUGCAGUGGGGAAUAUUGCACAAUGGGGGAAACCCUGAUGCAGCGACGCCGCGUGAGUGAAGAAGAGUUUCGGCGCGUAAAGCUCUGUCAGCGGGGAAGAAACACGGGUAGCGAGAGCCGCGGACGGUACCCGACCAAGAAGCCCCGGCUAACUACGGGCCAGCAGCCGCGGUAAUACGUAGGGGGCAAGCGUUAUCCGGAUUCACUGGGUGUAAAGGGAGCGUAGACGGCGAGACAAGUCUGGAGGGAAAGGCCGGGGCCCAACCCCGGGACUGCUCUGGAAACUGCCUGGCUUGCGUACAGGAGAGGUAAGUGGAAUUCCUAGUGUAGCGGUGCACUGCGUAGAUAUUAGGAGGAACCCCAGUGGCGAAGGCGGCUUACUGGACUGUAACUGACGUUGAGGCUCGAAAGCGUGGGGAGCAAACAGGCUUAGAUACCCCAGUAGUC
rnacentral:rRNA from 1 species